GGGGAAAUAGCUCAGUUGGUAAGAGUGCUUGCCUAGCAUGCACAAAGCCCUGGGUUUGAUCCCCAGCACCACCA
rnacentral:tRNA from 1 species